UUAAACUAUAAGAUCUAAUCAACUUUUUAUUUCCCGAAAUAAAUAGAGCUAAUUAUAAGAUAUUUUUUAGGAAAUAAUUGAUCUAUGGUGUGGUAUAAUCAUAGUUAAAUCUUUAAUUAGGGGUGAAAGGCUUUACAAUAUUUAUAGAUAUCUGGAUUAGCUUUAAAAAUAUUUAGUAUUUAUUUCAAAUGUGAAGUUUUAAGGUUUCGCAUCUAUAAUAUUUUCAUUGUUCUCAUAAAUUGUUUCGUUUUAAUAUAUUCUAACUUAAGAGUUGUUUAUUAAUAACUUUUUGACAAAAAUUUAUUAAUUUAAAGUUAUAAUUUUCAGAAUAUAAUAAUAAUUUAAUUCUGUUUAAAUAAGUAUAUAAUAAACAUGAAAAUUUAUUAAGGAACUCGGCAAAAACAAUCUCAUCUGUUUAUCAAAAACAUUAGCUAUUUGUUUUCAUAAUUAGUAUACUCUGCCCAGUGAUAUAAGUUUAACGGCCGCAGUACACUGACUGUGCAAAGGUAGCAUAAUAAUUUGGUUUAUAAUUGAAGUCUGGUAUGAAUGGAAUUAUGGGAUUGAGCUGUCUUAAUAAAAUUUAAAUCAAAAUUACUUAUGAAGUGCAAAGACUUCUAAUUCCAAUAAUAGACGAGAAGACCCUAUGAAUUUAUAAUAUAAUGGCUCAGUAAGUCAAUUCUUUUUUGUUGGGGCAACAAGCUUUCAGUAUAUAUUAAAAAAUAGCUAUAUCACUAGUACUAGUAGUAGUCAUAAAUCUGUUAUUAUAAACCAAGUUCUACUAUAAAUAAAGAAAUUACUAUAGGGAUAACAGCAUAAUUUUAUUAUUAAGAUUGUGACCUCGAUGUUGGACUAGGAAUUGGUUAAGAUAGCCUCUUUACCAAAAAGUUCUGUUCGAACUAUAAUCUCCU
rnacentral:rRNA from 1 species